CGCUCGCCUCCAUGGAGGCGCGUGCCAGCUCGCCCUCUGUGAGAGAGGAGGAGCUACUGCAGCAGUGGUUCCUCGGCGCGCGCUUUGCAAACGCUGAACCUAGCCGCGGUCUCGGCGCGCGGCCGAGGACCCCUGGACCGGUUUCUCUCCCCGGGGAACUGGACGCAGAUCCCCCCUACUCCCCCCCCCCCCCAGUCCUAGCGCGUCCUGAAACUUCAAUGCGCUCGCUGGGCCACAGGAACAGGAUCCCCGAUAGAGCUUGGCUGCAUCACUGGCGUGAUGGCGCGGGUCCCGGUUGAAUCCUUCCUAGAGGAAAUUUAAAAAACUCUUUGUUAUUAUUUCUUCUUCUGAACUUUUCCGGGGAGAAGACUUCUUAAUUUUCUACAUUCUUCCUCUCGUGAGCAGCGAAGUGAAAACACCCGGGGUCCGACUCUCUUCUCCAAACUAUUUGCCCACAACCCAUGUUUCCAGCGGGUUUUGUACUACAGCUUUCAGGAUGUGCAUGGCGUUAAGGUUCCACUCUUCUUUUCCUUUUAAGUACAGCGUAGGGGUCGUUUCCUCUAAGAGGAGUACUCGGAUUUUGACCAUCAGCACCUCACCUGAUCGUCUCUGCAGGGGUGUGAUUAUUUAAAUCACUGCUGCUUCCUCUCGCUUCCUCCAGGGUGGAAACAUCUUAUUUACACAGUCCUUGGUCCAUCGCAUGCAUUGAAACAGUGUAUACUGAAGACACUUAGUGUUUGAGGGUGAAUGGAAACCGUGUGGGGGAAGGGCGGGUACCUCCGUUGCUUCAUCAACUGACUUAAUAAAUAAAUACUUGACUUUAUUUUUAACUGA